GGGAAUGUCGGGCCUGAUCUGUUUCAGUUUCCUUGCUUUGACUUUGUUCCUGAUUUUCUUAUCUCUUUGCACUUUCCCUUUUAAAGGCAUGUAAAAAUUUUUCAAAAAUUGUUAGAUUCCU